UGAAACUUCGAUUGGAGAGGCCCAGUCCUUU
rnacentral:piRNA from 1 species